rnacentral:tRNA from 1 species
GCGCCCGUAGCUCAGCAGGAUAGAGCAACUGCCUUCUAAGCAGUAGGUUGGGAGUUCGAGUCUCUCCGGGCGCGCCA